UAGGAGUGACUCUAUUGUAAAGGCCA
rnacentral:piRNA from 1 species